GAUGAACGCUGGCGGCGUGCCUAAUACAUGCAAGUCGAACGAAGGAUACUUCAGUAUCCUUAGUGGCGAACGGGUGAGUAAUACAUAAGCAACCUGCCCCUAUGUCUGGGAUAACUAUUGGAAACGAUAGCUAAUACCGGAUACGAGUAUCUCUGGCAUCUGAGAUACUUAAAAGAUGGGUUACAUCGCAACGGGAUGGGCUUAUGGCGCAUUAGCUAGUUGGUGAGGUAACGGCUCACCAAGGCGAUGAUGCGUAGCCGAUUUGAGAGGAUGAACGGCCACAUUGGGACUGAGACACGGCCCAGACUCCUACGGGAGGCAGCAGUAGGGAAUUUUCGGCAAUGGGCGAAAGCCUGACCGAGCAACGCCGCGUGAGUGAAGACGGCCUUCGGGUUGUAAAGCUCUGUUGAUAGGGAAGAAUGUGACAUAUAGGGAAUGAUAUGUAAGUGACGGUACCUAUCCAGAAAGCCACGGCUAACUACGUGCCAGCAGCCGCAGUAAAAC
rnacentral:rRNA from 1 species